rnacentral:rRNA from 1 species
GACGAACCGUGCGAACGUUGUUCGGAAUCACUGGGCUUAAAGGGCGCGUAGGCGGCAGAUCAAGUCCGGGGUGAAAGCCCCCAGCUUAACUGGGGAAGUGCCUUGGAAACUGAUGUGCUUGAGGGAGGUAGGAGUCGAGGGAACUUCUGGUGGAGCGGUGAAAUGCGUUGAUAUCAGAAGGAACGCCGGUGGCGAAAGCGCUCGACUGGACCUUUUCUGACGCUGAGGCGCGAAAGCUAGGGGAGCAAACGGG